UUGAGUUAUGGAAGGAAAUUUGUAUGAAAUUUGAUUUCUAAACGCUAUUCAAAUGUGCUAUGGAGAUCUUCGACUUAUACAAGUUCCCUGUAUUUGUAAAAAAAAUAUUUAAUGUAUUUUAUUUAUCUGUCUUCCAUUUUGUGUUAAUUUUUUUUUAAUUGACUCGACGAACGUUUAACUACAACCGCUAUCUUGCGGUUUAGCGUACAAUUCACCCUAUACACGGAAGUACGACUGCAGAGAUCUCAGUCUUUAAAUGCUUCGUCCUUUCAUUUCGCGUCCAACAAAAUGUUUAGCCUUAUUGCAUGUACAUACAUACGUUCUAUGUAUGUCUAUUAAGUAGUAUGUUCAGUAAAAAGUUCAAAGGGAGAUAUACCUUGCCGACCUAUGUGAGCUCUUGGUAUUCGACUAAUCGACUAACCGAAUAGGGCAUUAUUCGAAUAAUAAUAUUCGGUUUGCAUAAUAAAAUUUGCGAAUAAUAAUAUUCGUCAGUCAUCGACUAUUCGAUUAACCGCUCAUUUUCGACUAUUCGGUUAACCGUUCGUUGUCGACUAUUCGAAUAGUGCAAGUUCAUUAAUUUUCUUAUUUUUAUUGAAAAAAGUGAAACAUUAAAACUAACAAAAAAACUCGCUAUUUUUUUAUGACAGUCAUACCAAAGGCUUUUAGACUGCAAACAAUUUUCAUUUAUUCGAAUAGUGUCAGAAUAACUAUUCGAAUAACCGCAGUAGAACGACUAUUCGAAUAGUCGGAACAUUGCGACUAACCGAAUAGUGCUAACCGGUUAAUAUCCGUAUGAACGGAUACAAACCGGAUAUUCGAAUAAUCGGUUUUCAGGUUAAUCGAAUAAUUUUAAGAGCCCUAGUACAUAUGUAUACUCUCUCAGUUACAUAUUUCUAACAUAUCUACUGAAUUAGGACAAAAGGACGUAAUGAAAAUACCAUCAUCAUAUUCGGCAAAUUUAAAAAAUUCUAAAAAAAAUUAUUGGCACUUCUAAACAAAUUAUACUAAAAUAGGAUGAAAAAAAUGCGCCCAUAAAGGUAUUGGGACAACUUUGUAUUCAACUAGUAUAGAAGGUCUAACUUCGGAUGUAACCAAAAAUUAUAAAUUUACUCUAGUAGUUAAUUACAUUGUACAUCACUCGGAUGGGCAUUACACCAAACUAAUUUUUGCCGGGUGAUUCAAUCAUAGGUAAACAACAUUUUUUCGAAAUCGAAAUAUUUGUGUAUAAUAUUUUUCGAUUAAGCCUAUAUAUUAUAUUAUGAAUAUAUAGUAGCGGACCCGACAGACGUUUUCCUGUAUGAUAUUUUAAGCUAUUAGGGUAUUAAACAAAGUAUAAAAUGAAAAACACAUAAUAAAAUAAAUGAAAUUAAUAUAUAAUUGAAUACAAGAUUUGGUACACUGAUAGUAGCACUAAUUUAGUAGUAGUAGUAGAAAAAAAACAUUUACCAAUCAAAAAUAAUUGUAAAUAUGUUUAGGCGGUUUCUAUACCAUAACAAUUAAUAAUGGUCGAAUUUUUCCGGAGAUAUGGGUUUUUACCCCAAGGUAGGCGGGUACGCCCACACCCCUUUUCCAAUCUUAAUACCAAUUUGAUAUUCUGUACUAUCUUUACUUUAAAAAGUAAUGCUUCUGACGGUUUUUGUUAGCAAGAUAAUGCACUUGUGGUAUUUUUCCAAUAUAGCCUUGUAUUGGGGGUGGGUGUGGUUUUUAUUCGAUUUUACACUUUUUUUUGGAAUGGUCCGACUUCGUCCACAUGCAAUAGCAAUCAUCCCUUAUUGCCAAGGAAUAUGUGUACCAAGUCUCCUCAAGUUAUCUUUAUACGUACAGAAU